UGGGGAAUAUUGGUCAAUGGGGGAAACCCUGAACCAGCAACGCCGCGUGAAGGAAGAAGGCCCUCGGGUUGUAAACUUCUUUGACAGGGGACGAUAAUGACGGUACCCUGAAAACAAGCCACGGCUAACUACGUGCCAGCAGCCGCGGUAAUACGUAGGUGGCGAGCGUUGUCCGGAAUUACUGGGUGUAAAGGGCGUGUAGGCGGCUAUUUAAGUCAGAUGUGAAAUGCAGGGGCUCAACCCCUGAGCUGCAUUUGAAACUGAGUAGCUUGAGUGAUGGAGAGGCAGAUGGAAUUCCCAGUGUAGCGGUGAAAUGCGUAGAUAUUGGGAGGAACACCAGUGGCGAAGGCGAUCUGCUGGACAUUAACUGACGCUGAGGCGCGAAAGCGUGGGGAGCAAACA
rnacentral:rRNA from 1 species